GACGAACGCUGGCGGCGUGCUUAACACAUGCAAGUCGAACGGAAAGGCCCUGCUUUUGUGGGGUGCUCGAGUGGCGAACGGGUGAGUAACACGUGAGUAACCUGCCCUUGACUUUGGGAUAACGUCAGGAAACUGGGGCUAAUACCGGAUAGGAGCUCCUGCUGCAUGGUGGGGGUUGGAAAGUUUCGGCGGUUGGGGAUGGACUCGCGGCUUAUCAGCUUGUUGGUGGGGUAGUGGCUUACCAAGGCUUUGACGGGUAGCCGGCCUGAGAGGGUGACCGGCCACCUUGGGCCUGAGAUACGGCGCAGACUCCUACGGGAGGCAGCAGUGGGGAAUAUUGUACAAUGGGCGGAAGCCUGAUGCAGCAACGCCGCGUGCGGGAUGACGGCCUGCGGGUUGUAAACCGCUUUCGCCUGUGACGAAGCGUGAGUGACGGUAAUGGGUAAAGAAGCACCGGCUAACUACGUG
rnacentral:rRNA from 1 species